UACGGAGGGUGCAAGCGUUAUCCGGAAUCACUGGGUUUAAAGGGUGCGUAGGCGGAAUAUUAAGUCAGUGGUGAAAGCCUGUCGCUUAACGAUAGAACUGCCAUUGAUACUGAUAUUCUUGAAUUGGGUUGAGGUUAGCGGAAUGUGACAUGUAGCGGUGAAAUGCAUAGAUAUGUCAUGGAACACCAAUUGCGAAGGCAGCUAGCUGGGCCUUGAUUGACGCUGAGGCACGAAAGCGUGGGUAGCGAACAGG
rnacentral:rRNA from 1 species